rnacentral:tRNA from 1 species
CUGCCCGUAGCUCAGACUGGAAGAGCAUCGGUUGCCGAAGCCGAAGGUCGCAGGUUCGACGCCUGCCGGGCAGGCCA